UACGUAGGGUCCAAGGCGUUAUCCGGAAUCACUGGGCGUAAAGCGCGCGCAGGCGGUUCUUCAAGUCAGUGGUGAAAGCCCGGAGCUCAACUCCGGAACUGCCAUUGAAACUGUGGAACUUGAGGAUGAGAGAGGUGAGUGGAAUUCCCAGUGUAGAGGUGAAAUUCGUAGAUAUUGGGAAGAACACCGGUGGCGAAGGCGGCUCACUGGCUCAUUUCUGACGCUCAGACGCGACAGCGUGGGGAUCAAACAGG
rnacentral:rRNA from 1 species